rnacentral:rRNA from 1 species
GACGAACGCUGGCGGCGUGCCUAAUACAUGCAAGUCGAACGCAGUGGGGACGGGUGAGUAACACGUGGGUAACCUCCCAUCAGAGGGGAUAACACUUGGAAACAGGUGCUAAACCGAUACUGAUGGAUGGACCCGCGGUGCAUUGGCUAGUGGGCGAGGUAACGGCUCACCAAGGCCACGAUGCAUAGUCGACCUGAGAGGAUGAUCGGCCCCACUGGGACUGAGACACGGCCCAGACUCCUACGGAAGGCAACAGUAGGGAAUCUUCGGCAAUGGACGAAAGUCUGACCGAGCAACGCCACGUAAGUGAAGAAGUUUUUCGGAUCGUAAGACUCUGUUGUUAGAGAAGCGGUAUCUUACCAGAUAGCCACGGCUAACUACGUGCCAGCAGCCGCGGUAAUUC